rnacentral:rRNA from 1 species
UACGAAGGGUGCAACCGUUGCUCGGAAUUAUUGGGCGUAAAGCGCACGUAGGCGGCAUUGCAAGUCGGAUGUGAAAUCCCUCGGCUCAACCAAGGAAGUGCAUCCGAAACUGCUGUGCUUGAGUACUUAAGAGGAUCGCGGAAUUCCCGGUGUAGAGGUGAAAUUCGUAGAUAUUCGCAAGAACACCAGUGGCGAAGGCGGCUUACUGGUCCGGUUCUGACGCUGAGGCGCGAAAGCGUGGGGAGCAAACAGG